rnacentral:tRNA from 1 species
GCCUGGGUGGCUCGGUCGGUUGGGCGUCCGACUUCAGCUCAGGUCACGAUCUCUCAGGUCCGUGAGUUCGAGCCCGCCUCAGGCU